GCAAAACCAAGAGGCAACACAAGCGGUUGUUGAAAAGCUAACCGGGUCGAAUGCUUAUUAACUUACUCGUGAAUUUCUUUAGCUAAAAAAAACUCAUGGGCUUAUAGUUUAAGUACAAAUAGUUUAACACUUGAGGCUUGACAAUGGUUUCCACGAGCUGUUGUUUCCUAAUGUUGCGGUUUGUUGACAUUUUUACGCUUUCACCGUUGGAUAGCAUACAGAUGCUACCGUUGAGCUAGCACCAUUAGCCUCCUAAUAGAUGACCAUGAUUUUCAUCAAGACAAUCCGUAUUAGUUAAUAGCUCGUUGUGCAUCGUUAGCUCAUCCUUCCAAAGUGUAUCCGUUCAUCAACUGCCUGAAAUAUUCAUCUCCAAGAGGUAAACGUUAACCAAUGGUGUCGCGUUAAAGCGUAUAAACAACAUGGUAGCGUUUUCCGAGGAGAACUUUUGACGUUGUAUUCGAGUCUUGAUUUUCUCACAAACACGCGAAAGUCCACCAUGUCGGACCUAGACACCCUCAUCGUGACCUUUCAGACCCAGCUGUCGGAUGUAAUGGAGACCGUAACAAAGACCGCCAUGUACGAGGUCACGAGGUUGGUUGAGGAGGGCUUCUUGGAGGAGAUGCAGCGCAGGAACCAGGAGCUGGAGUCCCUGAGGAUGCAGCUGCGACGGGCUGAGACGAAACUAAGUGACCAAGUGGGGAAAGACGCAAGAACAACCGGGAGGUGCGUUGGGUGUUCAAAGGGUGAUGUGCCACUGCGCGGUGGUGAUCCUGCAGAAGGAAGCCCCACAGAACAGCCAGCUGAUAUCUUCAGGGCCUGCGUGAUCAAAGAAGAAGGUGACUCUAUGGAAAGGUGGUCAAUGUGCUGCGCACAGGAAGUCAUACCAGAGUCGGAAGACAAUCCUACAUGCACUUUUAGUCCUGAGAGGAAGCGUCUGGUGGGUCACAGUACUGUCUGAUUGGAGUUUAAGUCAUUGUUAUGCACAUCCUCUCUGGCAGGACAAUUCCUCUCAGAGUAGACAACUAACAAAAC
ensembl:lncRNA